AUUGAACGCUGGCGGCAGGCCUAACACAUGCAAGUCGAACGCGACGGGGAGGGGUGAGUAAUGCUCGGGAACCUAGGUUAUGGAGGGGGAUAAGUCCGGGAAACUGUGGCUAAUACCGCGAACCGGAGGAUGAGCCCACGUGGGAUUAGGUAGUUGCUGGGGGAAAGGCUCACCAAGCCGCAGAGCUCUAACGGGUCUGAUAGGAUGACCAGCCACACCUGGACUGAGACACGGCCCCGACUCCUCCGGGAGGCAGCAGUGGGGAAUAGUGCGCAAUGGGGGCAACCCGACGCAGCCAUGCCGCGUGAAUGAAGAAGGCCUUCGGGUUGUAAAGUUCUUGCGGUAGCGAUGCGGUACCUACAGAAGAAGCCCCGGCUAACUCCGUGCCAGCAGCCGCGGUAAUUC
rnacentral:rRNA from 1 species